GACGAACGCUGGCGGCGUGCCUAAUACAUGCAAGUCGAACGCAGUGGGGACGGGUGAGUAACACGUGGGUAACCUCCCAUCAGAGGGGAUAACACUUGGAAACAGGUGCUAAACCGAUACUGAUGGAUGAACCCGCGGUGGAUUAGCUAGUUGGUGGGGUAACGGCUCACCAAGGCCACGAUGCAUAGCCGGCCUGAGAGGAUGACCGGCCACACUGGGACUGAGACACGGCCCAGACUCCUACGGGAGGCAGCAGUAGGGAAUCUUGGGCAAUGGACGAAAGCCUGACCGAGCAACGCCGCGUGAGUGAAGAAGGUUUUCGGGUCGUAAAACACUGUUGUUAGAGAAGCGGUAUCUAACCAGAAAGCAACGGCUAACUACGUGCCAGCAGCCGCGGUAAUUC
rnacentral:rRNA from 1 species